AUUGAACGCUGGCGGCAUGCCUUGCACAUGCAAGUCGAACGGUAACAGGUCUUCGGAUGCUGACGAGUGGCGAACGGGUGAGUAAUACAUCGGAACGUGCCCGAUCGUGGGGGAUAACGGAGCGAAAGCUUUGCUAAUACCGCAUACGAUCUACGGAUGAAAGCAGGGGACCGCAAGGCCUUGCGCGGCCGGAGCGGCCGAUGGCAGAUUAGGUAGUUGGUGGGAUAAAAGCUUACCAAGCCGACGAUCUGUAGCUGGUCUGAGAGGACGACCAGCCACACUGGGACUGAGACACGGCCCAGAGUCCUACGGGAGGCAGCAGUGGGGAAUUUUGGACAAUGGGCGCAAGCCUGAUCCAGCAAUGCCGCGUGCAGGAUGAAGGCCUUCGGGUUGUAAACUGCUUUUGUACGGAACGAAAAGCCCUGGGUUAAUACCCUGGGGUCAUGACGGUACCGUAAGAAUAAGCACCGGCUAACUACGUGCCAGCCGCCGCGGUAAUAC
rnacentral:rRNA from 1 species